AACAGGGGGAGGCGGCGUGACACGGAGGGGGUGAUCAACCCACGUGGGUCGAGCCUGGAGCCUAGCGGAGGGCGGGGCGGGGCCGCUGGGGGGCAGGAUCCAGCAGGGGCGUCUGUCCCCAGGCCCUAAGGCAGGAGCCGGGGCGGUGCGGAGGGCCGGGGCAGCGCGGCGAGCCUGGAGCUAAGUCGCUGGGGAGGUGGGAAAGGGCCCGGGCAUCCAGGCCUGAGGCCUGAGAGGGCAGCGGUCGGGACCCUCGGGCAAUGAGAGCAAGGUAGAGUCCAUCCGAGAGGACACGUCCGCGGUUUGCUGCAAAAAGCCCCCUUUGGCUGCUGCGUGGAGGGAGGCUCCGGAGAGCGUGGAAUCAGAGGACCUGUGGCAUCUGCCCACUACUGGCUGCGGAGCUUGGCCAUCCUGGCAUGUUUUGAUCCUCCCUCUACAACCCUCUGGGGCAGACUGUUUGCUAUGAAGGAUGCAGAGGUGAGUCUCCAACAGCUGAAGUCACAGUGACCAGAAUAGUGGCCCUUUGUGGACAGAACCUUGUCAGGGCCCCCAUCCCGGAGUCGCCUCUGUCCCCUGCUCCCAGCUGUGACUUGGGCCCAUUAUGCCACCUGAAAACUGUCUUGCCUGUUCCAUUGGGGACAAACUGAAGCUCCAGGCUCUGCAGUUGGCUCAGAAGCGGUUUCAAGAAGGAAUGUUGCUGUGAGGCUGUCCUGGGGCCUCUGCAGGAAGGAGCCCACCAGCUCCUCCUGGAGGUAGGAGGGCAGGCAGCCAGACCUCUCCCCAAAUUUGGAGGCCUGGCCCCUGGUAUCUAAAGCUGUUUCCAGAUCCUGCAGUGAUAGUGCCAUUCCUUUGAGUGGGUUUUCCCCACCAGCAUGCAUCCCCUGGUGGCCUUGUCCUUCCUGUAGCGUCCUCUGGGCCCAUCCUGAUCCCCCAGGCUCUGGGGCUUAUCAAGGACUCAUGGGCCUCACUGUGCACAGCCUGCUCUGUGCCUGUUACUGGGUGCCAUGCUGUAGAAUCCACUGCCCCCUUUCCAUAACCUUAUGAGAGAGGGAUACCAUUGGUCCUGUUUUCCAAUGAGGAACCCAGAGAGCAGAGACCUUCCCAGUGCCAACAGAAAGUGAGAGGAGGAGCAGGGGUGGACUCCUGCUGCCUGGCUACCCUCUGAAGCUAGUCUAGCUCUUGGCAUGCCUGGGGGCCAGGUACCUCCAAACCACGUCAGGCCAGAGUCUCAGCUUACUGCAACGCAAAAGAUGUGCCUUUGUGUCCAGAGUUGGUUCUUUCCGGUGGGUCCUUGGUCUCGCUGACUUCAAGAAUGAAGCCACGGAUCUUCGCGGUGUUACAGCUUUUAAAGGUGGCACGGACCCAAAGAGUGAGCAACAGCAAAAGAACAAAGCUUCCACAGCAUGAAAAUUGACCCCAGAGGGUUGCCGGCUGAUAGCUGCGGGGGGGGGGGGGGGGUGCGGGGAAGGGAAGGUGGUGGUGGUGGUGGCCAGCUUUUAUUCCCUUAUUUGUCCCCACCCACAUCCUGCUGAUUGCCCAUUUUACAGAGAGCUGAUUGGCCCAUUUUACAGAGUGCUGACUGGUCCAUUUUACAGUGCUGAUUGGUCCAUUUUACAAACCUCUAGCUAGCCACAGAGCACUGAUUGGUGCGUUUUACAAUCCUAGCUACAGAGUGCUGAUUGGUGCGUUUUACAAUCCUAGCUACAGAGUGCUGAUUGGUGCAUUUUACAAUCCUCUUGUAAGACCAAAGUUCUCUGAGUCCCCACCUGACCCAGAAAUCCAGCUGGCUUCACCUCUCACCUUCAGUGGGGGACGAAGGGGGGUGUGGUGUGAUACAACAGCUUCGUGACUUCAGCUAGUUGGUUUGCAAAGUGCCUGGGAUAGGAAGUGAGGAGCAGGCAGCAGGUGCUGGACCCAGGGAGCACAGCGGGUUCUCUUGCCUCUCUCCAAUACCCUAAUCCUGGGAAGUCUGAUUGGCUGAGGUAGCAAUGUGGUAGCAGCAGGUACAACACUCAACUAGUGCCACCUGUGUCCUGGGAACUGUUAGAAACUCUUGGUACCCUCUGUCGCAGCUCCCUGCAAUGUAGGUGCCAUCAUCACUGUACUUACAGAUGGGGAAGCAGGGGCGCCCAGUCAGGUUUGAGGGUGCAUAAGGCCCUGCCUCCCAGCCUGGGAAGCUAGGGAAAAGAGGGGCCCAUGGGCAGAUUUCUUAGGCCUGUCCUCUUUGGAAGAACGGAGAACAUUUACUAAUUACCAUUCGCUAAUUACCAUUCAGGCAAUUUCCAUAAUUGUCUCAAGAAAAGAUUUGAUCAGCCAAACUGUGAGCAGAAACAGCCUCGGCGGAGGGAAAGCCAAAGGCACAGCACGGGGUGCAGAAACCAAUGGAAACAGACCACACAGGCCACGGGGAGACCCGGAACGUCUGGGUCCAGUCUAGGCCCCUCCCCAUUCUAUAGAAAGGGAAGCUGAGGCGCAUGGAGGCCACGUGGCCCGACCCAGCUCCCAUGGAAAGUCUGUGAGCAAAACGGCAGAUUGUGCAUUGUGUGGGUUGUGCGCCACGUGGAGACAUUGGUAGCGUUGAAAUCCAUCAGGGCACAUUAUGGGGUUCGCUCUUGAAAACCCUCCCAAAGACAAUGCACCGUUCCUUGAAGCUAAUUGCUUUAGUUUGAGGUAAUAUUCGUCACAGAAACACCAGCAGUAACCUUUGGUCUUGGCAAAUUCUCCCCUCAAUCACAUAACGUAAACAGCGAUAAACGAGGGCUUUUUAAGGCUUUCUUCAUAAUGCGUUACACAUGCAUUUGUUACUGAAUCUGCGUGAGCUCCAAGCCCUGAAAUCUGAGCUCAGCUGGGAGGUGAGUGGGCUGGUCCGCCUGCGGUGGGGUCAGCGUCCCCAGGAGACACCCAGCCCAACCGGCCGGGCCCCUUCCCCCACUCCUCCUCCUCCCCUCCCUUCUCCCCACUCCUCCACCUUCUCACCAGCUUCUCUCUCUCCCCUUUCUCUCUAGCCCUUUCUUCUACUCUGUCUCCCUUUGUCUCACCCUGCAUCUCUUCUUUCUUUUUUCUGUCUUUCACUCUCUGGACCUGCUUGUGGUUCUUUUACUUUGUCAUCUUGGCCUCAGUUUCUGUGUGUCGGUGUUCUGCUCUCUGAUUUUCUCUGUAUUUCUCUCCUUGUACGAUUCUCUGUCUCUCCUUGUCUGACUGAUUCUCCCUCUUUGUCUCUUCAUCUCUCUCUCUCAUCUCUGUCUCUCCAACUGUCCCCUUACACAUACCCUGCAAAGAGCCUGGCUCCCCCUCCUCCUUCCUUUUCUACCCAGGGGAUUCAGAGGAGUAUUCACCUAGGGGUGGGGGAUUGCAGCAGUGGAGGAUGAACAAAGCAUUUGGGAGGCUCACAAGAAGGCUCAUGGUCUUUAGGUGGGGGUGGGAGAAGUCAGGGCGGGCUGCGUGGAGGUGAUGAAGUUCAUUUGAGUGAAGUCUGGGAGGAGCAAUAGGAACCGGCCACAUGGAGGUGGCAAGAACAGCAUUUCACGCAGAGGAACCAUGGACGCGCAGGCACAGGGAUGAAACCCUCUUGCUGUCUGCAUGGCCCUCACUGCACAGAGGAGUGACUGCCCCGAUCUGCUAGGCUAAGAGGAGGGCAAGGCGCAGAGAGGGCAAUGCUGCUAGAGGCAGGCCAUGAGUGGGUGACGGCAGGACCCAGCCAUCUCACCUGACCAGACCUGGGCCUUCCUCACUGAGGCAGCUCUUGUUGGCUUCCCAUCCCCAGGGAUCUCUGCAGGGACCACAGGUGGACAAACAGAAGGCUUCCAGAAAAUGGAAGGCUUUAUAGGGAGGGGAAAUGUUGCAGGACUGUGUUAAAAGUCCAUCUUCUUCCCCAGAAACCUGCCUGGUCCAUCUCAGGCAUGUCAGCCCCACCUCUCCAGGCCACAGGCCUCAGCGUGUCUGCUCCCUUCCCCACUCACCAUUGCCCACUUGGCCUCAGACUCUGCAAUUCUACCAGUCAAGCCCUCAUCCCCAUCCUGGACAGUGGCAGCUGCCGCCUCUCAGGCCCUGGCUCCCCGCACCCCCACAGCCUGUCUCCACUGUGGCCACCCAAGCCUGACCAUCCCUCCUCAGAUUAGACCCUCCAUGGCCAUCUCAGAGAGAAGCCGGCCCCACAACGUCCCAGAGACCAUACCUCUGACCCCUCCGUCACCACCGAAUGUUACCUUUUCAGAGGGGCCUCUUGUGGGCCCAAGGCCCUGCAAUUUUGCUUCACUGUGCCCCCCAACACACACAGAAUUUACUUAUUUUCUUGGGUCACUCUCCACCCCCACUUGACUGGGCUCCUAGAGCUGUGUGUUGCCUGCCCUGCCCUGGUGGGACAGUGUCCCUGAGCUGAGAACCUGACACUGGGGUGGGCACAGGAGGGGCUGCAGGCAGGGGAGCUGCAGGGUGCAGGGACAUGGUGCAGGCAUGGGGGCCCCAGGCCCUUCCAAGGGACGCUCCUGUCCCCCAGGUGCCCAGGCCCUCCAGGGAGGCACUCUCCACUUGCUGGGCUCUGCGAUUCAGACAGCGGGACCCUCAUGGGGCCCUGGCCUCACCUGUGAGCAGCAGGCUCUGGGGCUGCUCCAGGAAUGGAGCCAGAGGCCUCUGCAGGCCCUCGUGCUACUCAAAUAACAAGAACAUUGAACAUUGCAGCAGUGUAACGUAAAAGACCAGUUUCCUUCAGCACCCAUUUUAGUGAGCCUGAAAGAGAUUUCCUGACGGCCCCAGCCCAGAACCAGCCCUACGGUGGAGUGUCAGCAGAACCUCCGUGCUCCUCUCUGGCAGCUCCCUUGAGCCUUCAACCCCCUUGCCCAGUGGGGGCUAGGGAGGGGGAGUUGGGGGCAGGUCCUGCAGCCUCACUCCUGCCUUCUAAGGUCACUUCCAGGAAGCAUCUCCUCUGCGCCCUCCGACCUCCUAAACCCCCAAUCCUGAAUCUAUAUCCCCCACAUCAUGGUGAGGGCGGGUUUGUCAGGUUUUAAAAGCUUUAUUUUUUGGGCUUAGGGAUGUUUGAGUUUUCCUUUAAUUUUUCUUCUUUAAAACAUCCUCAUGCAUUACAUAUGCUUACCCACGUUUGAUAUAUUUCACAAUUAUAAAAUAGUUUUUUAAAUAAAAAGGGCACAUGAAUAACGUUAUUCAUUAAGGUUAACUAUCAGGUUAAGAUAAUUAAAGUGUUGUAAGAUCUUAACAUUAUUUACAAGGAAUAAAAAUAGUUAUUAAUGUUAGACUUUGGGAAAUAAUACAUAUUGUAAUUUCUAGAGUAAUCUCAAAAGAAAAAUGGUAUAUAAUUUUCAAACUAGUGGUGGAAAAAAUGAAAUGCUAAAAAUAAUCAAUUCAAAGGAAUAACAGAAAAGAAAUAUGGAACGGACCACAAAUAAAAAGCAGAAAAUAAGAUGGAAAAUUAAAGCCCAGCUAUACCAGUAAUUACAUUCUAUGUACAUGGGCCAAAUGCUUCCAUAAAAGACAAAUGUCAUCAGAUUGAAUUUUAAUAAUUCGAACUACAUGCUCUUUUUUGUUUAAAUGACAAACUUUAUUUUUUAAUUGACACAUUGUAAUUGUACGUAUUUAUAGGGUGCAUUUUGAUGUUUUGAUGUAUAUCUAUGUUGUAUAAUGAUCCAAUUAGGGUAGUUAAUGUAUCCAUCACCUUAUGCAUUUAUCAUUUCUUUGUGGUGAGAACAUUCAAAAGACCCCCUUCUAGCUAUUUUGGAAAAUGCAAUACUCUUUACCAUAGGCACCCUAUUAUGCAAUAGAACACCAGAACUCAUUUCUUCUCUCUAAAUGUAACUUUGUACCUGUUGACUAACCUCUCCCCAUCCUCCCCACUCUCUUCCCUCCCCAGUCUCUGGUAACCACUGUUCUACUCUCUGCUUCUAUGAUUAUCAACUUUUUUUUCCUUUUUAGAUUCCACAUAUGGGCAAGAUUAUGUGGUAUCUGUCUUUCUGUGUCUGGAGUAUUUCGGUUAACAUAAUGUCCUCCAGGUUCAUCCACGUUGCCAAGAUGACAGGACGUCCUUCUUUUUAUGGCUGAAUAGUAUUCCAUUGCAUGUAUGUACCACAUUUUCUGUAUCCAUUCAACCACUGAUGACUCUUAGAUUGACUCCAUAUCUUGGUUGUUGUUGUGAAUAAUGCUGCAAUAAAUGUGGGAGUGCAGAGAUCUCUUC
rnacentral:lncRNA from 10 species